GUCUCGAUGGUGUAAUGGUAGUAGAACGCGGCUCCGGUAAGGAUGAAACGCGGGUUCGAUUCCCGCCUGAAGCC